rnacentral:rRNA from 1 species
UACGGGGGGGGCAAGCGUUGUUCGGAAUUACUGGGCGUAAAGGGCUCGUAGGCGGCCAACUAAGUCAGACGUGAAAUCCCUCGGCUUAACCGGGGAACUGCGUCUGAUACUGGAUGGCUGGAGUUUGGGAGAGGGAUGCGGAAUUCCAGGUGUAGCGGUGAAAUGCGUAGAUAUCUGGAGGAACACCGGUGGCGAAGGCGGCAUCCUGGACCGGUAUUGACGCUGAGGAGCGAAAGCCAGGGGAGCAAACGGG